rnacentral:lncRNA from 1 species
AAUUUUUUAUUAUUAAUGGACUUUAUAACGGUCACUGUUAGAUUACUUUUGAAUCACACAGUACUUUUUAGCAUACAGCACCAAAAUGUUCUAUAUCUACAGGAUGAUCUGGACAUAUGUAUCCAAUCAUUUUCACGUAAAAAGUUCCUUCUGUUACAACUCCCUCCCCUCUCCCUUGACACCUACCAAAUGUAUUGUCAACGUUUGUUGUGGAGGAAAAUUCCUCUCUCCCUUCUUUAUCACCUUAGAAGAUCUGAAAUUUAACCAGUUUGGGAAAAUUCUACACUUUUUUGUUCAAAUUUUUGGCAUUCAAAGAAAAAAGUAAAGUAAUUGAGUUUAUAAAAAAAGAGCACAUAAUAUUAGUUCAUAAAAUGGAGUGAAAAUUAACAUUAAUUCUAUGACACAGUUUUUCAGAAUCAGCUCAACAGUUUGUAAAUUGGAGGUUUGCAAAAAUGCAACUUCAC